rnacentral:rRNA from 1 species
UACGUAGGGGGCGAGCGUUGUCCGGAUUUAUUGGGCGUAAAGAGCGUGUAGGCGGCCAGGUAGGUCCGUUGUGAAAACUCGAGGCUCAACCUCGAGACGUCGAUGGAAACCAUCUGGCUAGAGUCCGGAAGAGGAGAGUGGAAUUCCUGGUGUAGCGGUGAAAUGCGCAGAUAUCAGGAAGAACACCGGUGGCGAAGGCGGCAUCCUGGACCGGCAUUGACGCUGAGGCGCGAAAGCCAGGGGAGCAAACGGG